CGAGUCUUAACUGGGCGUUAAGUUGCAGGGUAUAGACCCGAAACCCGGUGAUCUAGCCAUGGGCAGGUUGAAGGUUGGGUAACACUAACUGGAGGACCGAACCGACUAAUGUUGAAAAAUUAGCGGAUGACUUGUGGCUGGGGGUGAAAGGCCAAUCAAACCGGGAGAUAGCUGGUUCUCCCCGAAAGCUAUUUAGGUAGCGCCUCGUGAAUUCAUCUCCGGGGGUAGAGCACUGUUUCGGCAAGGGGGUCAUCCCGACUUACCAACCCGAUGCAAACUGCGAAUACCGGAGAAUGUUAUCACGGGAGACACACGGCGGGUGCUAACGUCCGUCGUGAAGAGGGAAACAACCCAGACCGCCAGCUAAGGUCCCAAAGUCAUGGUUAAGUGGGAAACGAUGUGGGAAGGCCCAGACAGCCAGGAUGUUGGCUUAGAAGCAGCCAUCAUUUAAAGAAAGCGUAAUAGCUCACUGGUCGAGUCGGCCUGCGCGGAAGAUGUAACGGGGCUAAACCAUG
rnacentral:rRNA from 2 species